CACCUAUAGCCUCAAAGAGCAUCACAGUUUAUCUUUUUACUUAUGUAUCCCAUAAUAAAUUGUGAGCUCCUUGAGGUAUAAACU
rnacentral:miRNA from 1 species